rnacentral:snRNA from 1 species
AUCUUUGCGCUUGGGGCAAUGACGUAGCUAGUGAGGUUCUAACCGAGGCGCGUCUAUUGCUGGUUGAAAACUAUUUCUAAACCCCCUCUUAGGCUUGAGUUUAACUCAAGCCUUUGAGAAUUUCUGGAAGGACUCCUUCGGGGUAAAGUC